rnacentral:rRNA from 1 species
GACGAACGCUGGCGGCGUGCUUAACACAUGCAAGUCGAACGGAAAGGCCCUGCUUUUGUGGGGUGCUCGAGUGGCGAACGGGUGAGUAACACGUGAGUAACCUGCCCUUGACUUUGGGAUAACUUCAGGAAACUGGGGCUAAUACCGGAUAGGAGCUCCUGCUGCAUGGUGGGGGUUGGAAAGUUUCGGCGGUUGGGGAUGGACUCGCGGCUUAUCAGCUUGUUGGUGGGGUAGUGGCUUACCAAGGCUUUGACGGGUAGCCGGCCUGAGAGGGUGGCCGGCCACAUGGGGACUGAGAUACGGCCCAGACUCCUACGGUAGGCAGCAGUGGGGAAUAUUGCACAAUGGGCGGAAGCCUGAUGCAGCAACGCCGCGUGCGGGAUGACGGCCUUCGGGUUGUAAACCGCUUUCGCCUGUGACGAAGCGUGAGUGACGGUAAUGGGUAAAGAAGCACCGGCUAACUACGUG